GACGUAGGGGGCCAGCGUUGCUCGGAAUUACUGGGUGUAAAGGGUUCGUAGGCGGUGUGGCAAGUCGGGAGUGAAAUCUCUGGGCUCAACCCAGAGUCUGCUUCCGAAACUGCUGUGCUUGAGUGUGGGAGAGGCGCGUGGAAUUGCAGGUGUAGCGGUGAAAUGCGUAGAUAUCUGCAGGAACACCCGUGGCGAAAGCGGCGCGCUGGACCACUACUGACGCUGAGGCUCGAAAGCUAGGGGAGCAAACAGG
rnacentral:rRNA from 1 species